UGUAUGGAGUGGGAGUUAGGAUAGGGAGGCAGGAUCUUUUACUCCUUCCUAGUCAAUCUGGAGGGAGAGGUUCCAUAAGAGACCG